rnacentral:misc_RNA from 1 species
AAGUCGUAACAAGGUUUCCGUAGGUGAACCUGCGGAAGGAUCAUUAACACGUUAUCCACGUAUUAUCCACACCACACUGAACGAUGCUCCCUGUUAGAAGACUUCAAGGAUAUCGGUGCUUGACUAUUGUGGGCGGAUGCUAAGCUUUACGGCUUUGGUGUUUGCACGUCAUGCUUGCUGGUUAUGUCGACCCCGGGGCCGAGGGCGAAUCCGAGACACUUUCUUUCAGGCUUAUUGAUUCUCUUGUCCGGAGGCGAAAGCCGAUCCCAACCACUUUGGGCGACGAGACGACACCAUACCCCUUUCACCCUAUUUUACUAAUUUGACUGAUUAUACAUUCUUCGGGAGAAAUCCUGUUGAAUCUCUAAGAUUUAUCUUAACUAAGCACAACUCUUAGCAAUGGAUAUCUUGGUUCUC